UUGCCGGCGACCGGCGCACGGGUGAGUAACACGUAUGCAACCUGCCCGUCUCAGGGGGAUAAUCGUCGGAAACGGCGUCUAAUACCCCGUAUGAAGCUGGACGGCAUCGUCUGGUUUUGAAAGAAUAUCGGAGACGGAUGGGCAUGCGGCGCAUUAGCUAGUUGGCGGGGUAACGGCCCACCAAGGCGACGAUGCGUAGGGGUUCUGAGAGGAAGGUCCCCCACACUGGUACUGAGACACGGACCAGACUCCUACGGGAGGCAGCAG
rnacentral:rRNA from 1 species